AUUAAAGCUCCUGAGAGGCAAACCCCUUUGUUGCUCCAAGGUCUUUAUAAUCUUCACCUGGGUUUGCUGAAACUCAGCUGCUUGUCCUCUGCAUUAAAGAAUGAGUCUGGGAAUUAAGUUGAUGGGAUUCAGCUGUGUGUAAACCUUUGCACUACAGUAGAUUUUAAAAAGCAGUCCUGGUACUUAAAAAUCUGCUUGUUCAAGAUAGACACAAUAACUGGAGAGAGGGAGUGACAACCUAAACCUAACUUGACCUGCCAGCUGGUGAAUUCCCCAUAGGAGGCACCAGUCCUGCAGCCCACCAUUCAGACGACUGCUCUGCUGACACAUAAGGUUUAACAACUCUACCUUCACACCUUCAGAAUUACUGUUAUCAAGGAGGCACAGCUUCUGACAGAAGUUACAACUCACCACAACACCUCAACAUCUAUUAGUGUUGCCAAAGCUAGACCCAGUCCUACCUUUGCAAACGUUAUGUGAACUCAGUUUACUUCUGUGAACUCCAUCUGAGAUGGUAGGGAAAAAAUAAACGUAGAGUGGCUUGUGGUGAAUGUCACACACAGAUAUGCAGGACCUACAUCUUCACAGUCUGGUUCUACCCUUGCAAACAACGUUAUUGAAAAGAAAUAAAUAAAUACAUUUGGCUCCAGUGAGUAACCAUUACCUAGAAACUGAAAUAGAUUGAGUAGACUGCAAUAAAUCCCUGCCAGAAAAAAUAAAAAGAGUGUGUGGGAAUGCCUAUACUUUAUCUUAAACAUUUCUUAGGAAAAUAACUU